AGAGAAUAGAUACCCGGGUAGUCCACGCCCUAAACGAUGUCGACUGGUUGUUGGGGUUUGUACACUCUCAGUAAAACGAAAAGACUAAACGCGUGAAGUCGACCGCCUGGGGAGUACGGCCGCAAGGUUAAACUACAAGGAAUUGACGGGACCCGCACAAGCGGUGGAUUAUGUGGACUAAUUACGAUGCAACGCGAAAAACCUUAACCUUACCCUUGACAUGUCCGGGUAGGCCUGCUGAGAGGCGGGUGUGCUCGAAAGAGAACCGGAACACAGGUGCUGCAUGGCUGUCGUCAGCUCGUGUCGUGAGAUGUUGGGUUAACGUCCCGCAACGAGCGCAACCCUUGCCAUUAGUUGCCACCCGGUAACGGGGGUCACUCUAAUGGGACUGCCGGUGACAAACCGGAGGAAGGUGGGGAUGACGUCAAGUCCUCAUGGCCCGUUAU
rnacentral:rRNA from 1 species